rnacentral:rRNA from 1 species
GAUGAACGCUGGCGGCGUGCUUAAUACAUGCAAGUCGAGCGAAGCACUUUAACGGAAUUCUUCGGAAGGAAGGUAAAGUGACUGAGCGGGCGACGGGUCGAAGGUACGCGUAGUAGUAACCUGCCUUUCAGAGGGGGACAACAGCUGGAAACGGCUGCUAAUACCGCAUAAUAUAUACAGGUCGCAUGAUUUGUAUAUCAAAGAUUUAUCGCUGAAAGAUGGACUCGCGUCUGAUUAGCUAGUUGGCGGGGUAACGGCCCACCAAGGCGACGAUCAGUAGCCGGACUGAGAGGUUGAACGGCCACAUUGGGACUGAGAUAUGGCCCAG